ensembl:lncRNA
UGGAGGAUAUAUACAGGGGGUACCGGUACAGAGUCAAUGUGGAGACUAUAUACAGGGGGUACCGGUACAGAGUCAAUGUGGAGACUAUAUACAGGGAGUACCGGUACAGAGUCAAUGUGGAGGAUAUAUACAGGGGGUACUGGUACAGAGUCAAUGUGGAGGAUAUAUACAGGGGGUACCAGUACAGAGUCAAUGUGGAGGCUAUAUACAGGGUAUUACGGUACAGAGUCAAUGUGGAGGCUAUAUACAGGGGGUACCGGUACAGAGUCAAUGUGGAGGAUAUAUACAGGGGGUACCAGUACAGAGUCAAUGUGGAGGAUAUAUACAGGGGGUACCGGUACAGAGUCAAUGUGGAGGCUAUAUACAGGGGUACUGGUACAGAGUCAAUGUGGAGGCUGUAUACAGGGGGUACCGGUACAGAGUCAAUGUGGAGGCUAUAUACAGGGGUACUGGUACAGAGUCAAUGUGGAGGCUAUAUACAGGGGGUACUGGUACAGAGUCAAUGUGGAGGCUAUAUACAGGGGUACUGGUACAGAGUCAAUGUGGAGGAUAUAUACAGGGGGUACCGGUACAGAGUCAAUGUGGAGACUAUAUACAGGGGGUACCGGUACAGAGUCAAUGUGGAGGAUAUAUACAGGAGUACUGGUACAGAGUCAAUGUGGAGGAUCUAUACAGGGUAUUACGGUACAGAGUCAAUGUGGAGACUAUAUACAGG